GGUCAUUUCUUGGGGUAAUUUUGGGUCAGUUUCUGGUCAUUUUUUGGGGUGCUUUGGCUGACUUUUGGGUCAUGUUUUGGGGAGAUUUGUGUGAGUUCUGGGUCACUUUCUGGGGUUAUUUUUGGUCAGUUUCUGGUCAUUUUUUGGGGAGAUUUGUUUGAGUUCUGGGUCAUUUUUUGGGGUAAUUUUGGGUCAGUUUCUGGUCAUUUUUUGUGGAGAUUUGGGUGAGUUUUGGUUCAUUUUUGUGGGUAAUUUUGGGUCAUUGUUGUGUCAUUUUUGGGGGAGAUUUUGGUGAGUUCUGGUCAUUUUUUGGGGUAAUUUUGGGUCAUUUUCUGGUCAUUUUUUUGGGGAGAUUUGGGUGAAUUUCUGGCCAUUUUUUGGGGAGAUUUGUGUGAGUUUUGGGACAUUUUUGGUGGUAAUUUUGGGUCAGUUUCUGGCCAUUUUUUGGGGAGAUUUGUGUGAAUUUUGGGUCAUUUUUUGGGGUAAUUUUGGGUCAGUGUUGUGUCAUUUUUUGUGGAGAUUUGGGUGAGUUUUGGGUCAUUUUUUGGGGAGAUUUGGGUGAGUUUCUGGACCAUUGUUUGGGAUAAUUUUUGGUCAGUUUCUGGUAAAUUUUGGGGGAGAUUUUGCUGAGUUUUGGGUCAUUUUUUGGGGUAAUUUUGGGUCAGUGUUGUGUCAUUUUUUGGGGCGAUUUUUUUUAGUUUCUGGUCAUUUUUGGGGGUAAUUUUGUGUCAGUUUCUGGUCAUUUUUUGUGGAGAUUUUGGUGAGUGUCUGGUCAUUUUUUGGGGUAAUUUUGGGUCAGUAUUGAGUCAUUUUUUGGGGUAAUUUUGGGUCAGUGUUGUGUCAUUUUUUGGGGAGAUUUGGGUGAGUUUUGGGUCAUUUUUUGGGGAGAUUUUGGUGAGUUUCUGGUCAUUUUUUUGGGGAGAUUUUGGUGAGUUCUGGGUCAUUUUUGGGGUAAUUUUGGGUCAUUUUCUGGUCAUUUUUUGGAGAGAUUUGGGCCAGUUUCUGGUCAUUUUUUGGGGAGAUUUGUGUGAGUUUUGGGUCAUUUUUUGGGGUAAUUUUGUGUGAGUUUCUGGUCAUUUUUUGGGGAGAUUUAGGUGAAUUUCUGGCCAUUUUUUUGGGAGAUUUGGUGAGUUUUGUGUCAUUUUUGGGGGUAAUUUUGGGUCAGUGUUGUGACUUUUUUUAGGGAGAUUUGGGUGAGUUCUGGGUCAUUUUUGGGAGUAAUUUUGGGUCAGUUCCUGGGUCAUUGUUUGGGGUAAUUUUGGGUCAGUUUCUGGUCAUUUUUCUGGGAGAUUUGUGUGAAAUUCUGGUCAUUUUUGGGGAAGAUUUGGGACAGUUUUUGGUCAUUUUUUUGGGUGAUUUGGGUGAGUUUCUGGUCAUUUUUUGGGG